ensembl:lncRNA
UGGGAGUCCACAAUCUUCACAGAUCCUAGUGCCAGUGUCCAGAUGCUUGAGGUCAGGGCUGUUGCGAUGGCGAUCGCUUAUUGGCCUUCCCUUCCCUGCAACAUAGUCACAGAUUCAGCUUUUGCGGCUAAGCUCGCUUUGAAAAUGGGCCAAGAAGGUAUCCCUAGUACGGAAGCAGCGCUUAUUUUAGAAGAUGCUCUGAGCACCCGAGUGGAGCCUAUAGCAAUUUUACAUGUGAGAAGUCAUUCGGAGGUACCAGGAUUCUUCACGGAGGGUAACGCCAAGGCAGAUGCCGCGGCGGGUAUUUGAGUCCUCACAUUGAGAAAGGCGAAAGACCUCCAUACUAGGCUCCAUAUUGGGGCGAGAGCACUGGCUCGUGCCUGCGACAUUCCUGUUGCAUCUGUGAGGGAUGUGGUGAGGGCCUGUCCUCACUGCAACACGGCCCCAGCUAUAGGGGCUGGAGUAAACCCUCGUGGCCUAGAACCGCGGCAGAUUUGGCAGACAGACUUCACCUGGGAGCCGAGUCUUUCCCCAAGGCCAUGGUUAGCAGUCACUGUGGACACGGCAUCGACCAUGAUUGUGGCCACACAACACACGAAGACCAGCUCUACUGCAGCCCAAUCCCAUUGGGCGGUGGCAAUCGCAACCCUUGGGCUACCAGAGCAGAUCAAAACGGACAAUGGGUCCUGCUUCACAUCGCACUCCACACAGCGCUGGCUUGCGUCCUGGGAGAUCAGACAUGUUACAGGAACGGAGUGUUAUGGAGCCAUCCAGAGGGAAACUUGGCCAGUCGGAAGGAAGAAUGUCGGCUGGGGUAAGGACGCGACCGAGGACGCAGCCAACGAGAAAUUGUGUCUUCCUUCUCAGUAUAAGCCUUGUGGUCGUUCUUUCGGUGCAGGGGUAGGAGUGUGCUCACCUCAUAUCGCAGCCAGGGAAUUUAUGGGUUACUUGGGCAAAUAAGACGGGCCAAAACGACUUUUGCCUUAGUUUACAAUCGGCAACAUCGCCUUUUCGCACCUGCCUAGUAGGUAUCCCUCAAUACACGUUAGAAGCCUUUGCGAGGUACACCACAAACCAUUCCGCUUGCCGUAACGACACCGAUCUAGCAAGCCAAACAGCAUGUUUGAUAAAAUCUCUGAAUGUGUCUCUUCCAUGGGAUCCACAAGAAUUAGAUAUCUUGGGGUCGCAGAAGGUACGAAAUGGGUCGCAUAAUGGCACGCGUACCUGUAUUACCUUUGGGUCAGUGUGCUGGAAGGAAAGUAACUUUAUUACCUGCGACUUGUUUGACAGGGUAUUCGACGGCUCCGAGGGAUUGAAAGGACAACUGCAGGCCUUAAUUGCCCGGUGGGCAGGCACAGAUCCGCGGCUGAAGCCAUACAACGAGACCUCUUGGACUGUGGUCAGUCCUGUGAACACGGAGGCUUUCUCCAUUACUUCGGGUUAUUUUAUAUUGCGGGUAUACCAAAAAUGAAACACGGGUCUUCACAGGGCGCAAUACAACCUGCUUGUCAAAGGGUGGGGUCCUUUCUAAAUUUAGCGGUAGAUCCUCAUUUGAUUGUACGGCAGUUUGGGACUUUUAUGGGUAUGGGUUCACUUUCAAACGGGGGGUCAACGAGGUGCUAUGGAAUAACAAAACGGCUAAGGCGUUGCUCCCUGGAAUCUUCUUGAUCUGUGGGGAUAGAGCCUGGCAGGGCAUCCCGCACAAUGCCUUAGGAGGACCCUGUUACCUAGGGGAACUGACGUUACUGUCUCCGAAUUUCACGACAUGGAUGCAGUAUGGCCCGAACAUCACGGGUCACCAUCGCCGCCGAAAGCGUUCGAGCCCUCUCCCGGAGAAUUGUAACGACGAGGUAGAGUUAUGGAGUGCCACAGCACG